GAUGAACGCUGGCGGCGUGCCUAAUACAUGCAAGUCGAGCGAAUGGAUUAAGAGCUUGCUCUUAUGAAGUUAGCGGCGGACGGGUGAGUAACACGUGGGUAACCUGCCCAUAAGACUGGGAUAACUCCGGGAAACCGGGGCUAAUACCGGAUAACAUUUUGAACCGCAUGGUUCGAAAUUGAAAGGCGGCUUCGGCUGUCACUAUGGAUGGACCCGCGUCGCAUUAGCUAGUUGGUGAGGUAACGGCUCACCAAGGCAACGAUGCGUAGCCGAACUGAGAGGGUGAUCGGCCACACUGGGACUGAGACACGGCCCAGACUCCUACGGGAGGCAGCAGUAGGGAAUCUUCCGCAAUGGACGAAAGUCUGACGGAGCAACGCCGCGUGAGUGAUGAAGGCUUUCGGGUCGUAAAACUCUGUUGUUAGGGAAGAACAAGUGCUAGUUGAAUAAGCUGACACCUUGACGGUACCUAACCAGAAAGCCACGGCUAACUACGUGCCAGCCGCCGCAGUAA
rnacentral:rRNA from 1 species